UACGGGGGAUGCAAGCGUUAUCCGGAAUCAUUGGGCGUAAAGCGCCUGUAGGUGGUUUAUUAAGUCUGUUGUUAAAGACUAGGGCUUAACCCUGGGAAAGCAAUGGAAACUAAUAGACUUGAGUAUGAUAGGGGUAGAGGGAAUUUCUAGUGUAGCGGUGAAAUGCGUAGAUAUUAGAAAGAACACCGGUGGCGAAAGCGCUCUACUGGACCAUUACUGACACUCAGAGGCGAAAGCUAGGGUAGCAAAAGGGAUUAGAUACCCCUGUAGUCCUAGCCGUAAACGAUGGAUACUACAUGUUGUGCUUAAUGUACAGUAUGGUAGCUAACGCGUUAAGUAUCCCGCCUGGGGAGUACGCUCGCAAGGGUG
rnacentral:rRNA from 1 species